rnacentral:tRNA from 3 species
GAGAGAUGGCUGAGUGGUUGAUAGCCCCGGU